rnacentral:rRNA from 1 species
AUUGAACGCUGGCGGCAGGCUUAACACAUGCAAGUCGAACGAGUGGCGGACGGGUGAGUAAUGCUUGGGCAUCUAGCUUAUGGAGGGGGAUAACUACGGGAAACUGUAGCUAAUACCGCGUACCAUAGGCUGAGCCCAAGUGGGAUUAGGUAGUGGGUGAGGUAAAGGCACACCAAGCCGACGAUCUCUAGCUGGUCUGAGAGGAUGACCAGGCACACUGGGACUGAGAAACGGCCCAGACGCAUACGGGAGGCAGCAGGGGGGAAUAUGGCGCAAUGGGGGAAACCUGACGCAGCCAGGCCGCGUGAAUGAAGAAGGCCUUCGGGUUGUAAAGUUCUUUCGGUAGCGAGGCGUUAACUACAGAAGAAGCACCGGCUAACUCCGUGCCAGCAGCCGCGGUAAUAC